UACGGAGGGUGCAAGCGUUAUCCGGAUUCACUGGGUUUAAAGGGUGCGUAGGCGGGCUGGUAAGUCAGUGGUGAAAUCUCCGGGCUUAACUCGGAAACUGCCAUUGAUACUAUCAGUCUUGAAUACCGUGGAGGUCAGUAGAAUAUGUCAUGUAGCGGUGAAAUGCUUAGAUAUGACAUAGAAUACCAAUUGCGAAGGCAGCUGGCUACACGAAUAUUGACACUCAGGCACGAAAGCGUGGGGAUCAAACAGG
rnacentral:rRNA from 1 species